rnacentral:sRNA from 2 species
AUUGAAAACACGCUGAAUCCAUUUAUGGAAUGGGAGAACCAAUAUUUUGGGGUGAAUCACAAUUUUGUGUAGGAUAUUCUUUUCAAUCCGAAUCCGUCAGCUAAUCUCGUAAGCGCAAGAAAAGAAGAUAA